AGAGUAACCGAUUACUCAGAAUAAGUAACUGAUUACUCCAAGCAGGUAUUUAAGGGAAAAUUGCAUUUUUCAGAACCUCAUCUUCUUCCCUCUACUCUCUAACUCGUGGUCAAUCAUUUUCCCUCUAGAAUCUUCAUUUCUUAACCUUUUUGGGUAAUUUUUGUGUCCAUUCAUAUCACAUUGUUCAUUCUAAACACUUCUACAC
rnacentral:lncRNA from 1 species